rnacentral:rRNA from 1 species
GCGUGCUUAACACAUGCAAGUCGAACGGAAAGGCCCUGCUUUUGUGGGGUGCUCGAGUGGCGAACGGGUGAGUAACACGUGAGUAACCUGCCCUUGACUUUGGGAUAACUUCAGGAAACUGGGGCUAAUACCGGAUAGGAGCUCCUGCUGCAUGGUGGGGGUUGGAAAGUUUCGGCGGUUGGGGAUGGACUCGCGGCUUAUCAGCUUGUUGGUGGGGUAGUGGCUUACCAAGGCUUUGACGGGUAGCCGGCCUGAGAGGGUGACCGGCCACAUUGGGACUGAGAUACGGCCCAGACUCCUACGGGAGGCAGCAGUGGGGAAUAUUGCACAAUGGGCGGAAGCCUGAUGCAGCAACGCCGCGUGCGGGAUGACGGCCUUCGGGUUGUAAACCGCUUUCGCCUGUGACGAAGCGUGAGUGACGGUAAUGGGUAAAGAAGCACCGGCUAACUACGUGCCAGCAGCCGCGGUGAUACGUAGGGUGCGAGCGUUGUCCGGAUUUAUUGGGCGUAAAGGGCUCGUAGGUGGUUGAUCGCGUCGGAAGUGUAAUCUUGGGGCUUAACCCUGAGCGUGCUUUCGAUACGGGUUGACUUGAGGAAGGUAGGGGAGAAUGGAAUUCCUGGUGGAGCGGUGGAAUGCGCAGAUAUCAGGAGGAACACCAGUGGCGAAGGCGGUUCUCUGGGCCUUUCCUGACGCUGAGGAGCGAAAGCGUGGGGAGCGAACAGGCUUAGAUACCCUGGUAGUCCACGCUGUAAACGGUGGGUACUAGGUGUGGGGUCCAUUCCACGGGUUCCGUGCCGUAGCUAACGCUUUAAGUACCCCGCCUGGGGAGUACGGCCGCAAGGCUAAAACUCAAAGGAAUUGACGGGGCCCCGCACAAGCGGCGGAGCAUGCGGAUUAAUUCGAUGCAACGCGUAGAACCUUACCUGGGUUUGACAUGGAUCGGGAGUGCUCAGAGAUGGGUGUGCCUCUUUUGGGGUCGGUUCACAGGUGGUGCAUGCCUGUCGUCAGCUCGUGUCGUGAGAUGUUGGGUUAAGUCCCGCAACGAGCGCAACCCUUGUUCACUGUUGCCAGCACGUUAUGGUGGGGACUCAGUGGAGACCGCCGGGGUCAACUCGGAGGAAGGUGGGGAUGACGUCAAGUCCUCAUGCCCCUUAUGUCCAGGGCUUCACGCAUGCUACAAUGGCUGGUACAGAGAGUGGCGAGCCUGUGAGGGUGAGCGAAUCUCGGAAAGCCGGUCUCAGUUCGGAUUGGGGUCUGCAACUCGACCUCAUGAAGUCGGAGUCGCUAGUAAUCGCAGAGCAGCAACGCUGCGGUGAAUACGUUCCCGGGGCUUGUACACACCGCCCGUCAAGUCAUGAAAGUUGGUAACACCCGAAGCCGGUGGCCUAACCGUUGUGGGGGAGCCGUCGAAGGUGGGACUGGUGAUUAGGAC